rnacentral:misc_RNA from 1 species
GGCGAUUUUACAAAAUUCAGCUCGUCUUUGACACAUUCCACAAGCAAAUAUAAGUAACUACAGCUAAGAGUACUUGACAAAACUGCAUUUUGUCACUGAAAUCAGAAACACAAACAUCUUCUGGUGUACAUUACAAGCAAAAGUUCAAGCUUUAUCGCGUUUUAACAUGAACAAUAACGCGUUUACUGCAGAAAAUCUCGAGGAUCAGUAACAUGGCCAGUUAAUGCAGAUGCUGCAGCUGUAUAUGGAGAUGCAAGAUAAAUUUGACCUUCCUUGUGGCCCAUUCGCCCCGGGAAGUUCCUGUUUGUGGUUGAGACACAUACCUGAGGUUCGUUCAACCGAGCAUGAGUAUCUCUAGGACCACCCAUACAAGCACCACAACUAGGACUUGCUGGUGUAUCGCAGCCAGCAUCCUCGAAAAUCUGUGAACAUGUUUUGCCACCAGAUUCUGGAACUGGGAUAGUAUAUAAAUCCAUCCAGACCUUCUGCGUAGCAGGGACGAGAAAUGUUGGAACUUUGACCUUCUUUCCUGAUGCUAGAAAAACUUUGGCAGCAGCC